UAAAUGCCAUGAUCACAAAUCUAGCAUCUAGCUGGCACCAGGGACAGAAAAAGGUUCUAUUUACAGCUCCUCUGGGCAGUGUUAGCCAGUGGACACGCUGCUGCUCUGCCCAUCCUUGGGACAACCUUCACAGGAAUACAGCUUUUGCUUUGUGAUAAGAUAUGACAAGGCCUUCAAGUUUGUCAGAAUGUUCCUCUUGUCCCCUCCCUUCUCCUCUACAAUAUUCUGGAGUUGCUCAAACCUGUGUCUGAACAAAGGCAUUUGAAGCAGCUGUAUCUGAAUGGAAAUUGGACAGGUUUCAAAGGGGAAGACGCAUGCUGACCUUCAUGAAUAAUGAUGAUGCAGUGACUACAGCAAGAGAUAACUUACGUCCUCAUUGGAAUCAGCGAAGAAAUGCCUCAAGGGCAAAUUGCAGAUACCAAGGACCAGAGGAGGAUCAGGGGAGUGAAUUUAAGUUCCUUCUGGAUCCCUGAUGUCAAGAUCUCUUUAUGCCGGUCUCGUCCCUCACAUUUAAUAGAAAACCCCACAGUCAUCUGGAGACUGACCAGUACAAUACCUACUGGUAAUAUCAUGUGUUAUGAUGUCUUCACGAAUUUUACUACAGUUUUCAAUCCAUAUAUUUCCUCCUAACUUUCUCUUCGACACUUCACUUUAGCCCUUAGCCCUUCUUGCCUUAUUUCCCUUUCUUGUAUCCCUGCUGAAUUCACUUCUCAUCUCUCCUGUUGUUUGUUUUCCUAAUCAAAUAAUCUCCUUCCAUUUUUUACUGAGCACCACUUACUUAAUAUUUAAAUAAAUUAAAUAAACCAAAUCAAAUUAAAUGAACCAAAUC